CAGAUUCUUCAGCGAGAAGGAGAUUUUCAGCACUGGCUGUGCUGCAAAGCAAGUGGUGGGUACAUCUGUCCUAAGGAAGAGCACAGACCUUGGGGUUUUUUUGUGGGAUAGAUGAGAAGUCUCCUUACCUGCCCUGGAGCCCAAGAUUUUAUUCCCCACGCAGCAUGAGAUGUAAACACAAACUCAGUAACAAGGCUGAAUUUAGUUCCAAAUGCUGCACUGGACAUCGAGGACUGGAGACAGAAGUACCAUUGGCUCACAAAACCCUCAAUAUAAUUCUGCCACAUGGCAAACACAACAGGUACACAGCGGCACACUUCUUCACUGAAGUAAAAGCCAGCGUCGCAGCGUCUCGUCCGCACUGUACACGGAGGUCUGUAACAACUGAAGAAAGGGGAAAAAAAAGUGGGCAUUAAUAUAACACCAUCAUUUAUAGUUAACUGGAACAGAAAGCUUUGUGCCUUCACACUGCUAUUUCUCAACAGAAUAUUUAAUUUUAAGUUUUUAUGUUCUUACAAACAAUUUCAGUUGAACUAUUCUUUACAAAAGACAAUGAAACAAUAACAAAUUAUACUGAAAUUAUUCUAUUGCAACAGAUACAUAUGGAUCUUUUUUUAUCACACUGCUGGGUGUAGUUGCAUUCUAAUCUUGAGUACUAUUUUUUUAGUUUUAGUUUGAAAAUAGGAUAUAUUUCUGUACUCAGAUUGGUUAGUUGUAACCUACUGCAUGCUGCAAAAUUGGAGGUGGUAAUCCAGAAUCAUGUUAUAACCAAAUCUCUCACUCUCCUACCCAGGACUGUUUCUCAUCUUAUUGACUACUUCAAUAAGCCUGAGAGAGGUUUGUCUAUGUAUGUUACACUGUGACUCUGAUCUUGAAAAUGAGAACAUACUUCCUUUCAAGCUGCAAAUUCCCACAGCCAGUCUCUGAGCCAGUGGGAAUAUUUCUGCAUUUAUAUUGCAUCUGUGUGCAUUCUGAAGAAAAAUCAGAGCCUAUUUAUCAUGAUUCUGAUAAAUCUUAAUGGAGAAAAACAGAAUUAGUGUCUAUCUGACUAAAAUAAGUUUAAUAAGUAAUACAG